rnacentral:rRNA from 1 species
UCGAAGCAACGCGAAGAACCUUACCAGGUCUUGACAUCCCUGACAACCCGAGAGAUCGGGCGUUCCCCUCGGGGGACAGGGUGACAGGUGGUGCAUGGUGUCGUCAGCUCGUGUCGUGAGAUGUUGGGUUAAGUCCCGCAACGAGCGCAACCCUCGACCUUAGUUGCCAGCAUUCAGUUGGGCACUCUAAGGUGACUGCCGGCUAAAAGUCGGAGGAAGGUGGGGAUGACGUCAAAUCAUCAUGCCCCUUAUGACCUGGGCUACACACGUGCUACAAUGGGCGGUACAAAGGGUCGCGAACCCGCGAGGGGGAGCCAAUCCCAAAAAGCCGCUCUCAGUUCGGAUUGCAGGCUGCAACUCGCCUGCAUGAAGCCGGAAUCGCUAGUAAUCGCGGAUCAGCAUGCCGCGGUGAAUACGUUCCCGGGCCUU